GCCUGCGGCCAUAACGACAGGACCACACCCGAUCCCAUCCCGAACUCGCUCGUUCAGCCUCUCAGCGCCGACCAUACUGCGCACUUCCUGCGUGGGAAAAUAGGACGCCGCCGGAG
rnacentral:rRNA from 1 species